rnacentral:rRNA from 1 species
GACGAACGCUGGCGGCGUGCUUAACACAUGCAAGUCGAACGGAAAGUGCCCAGCAUGCUGGGUGACUCGAGUGGCGAACGGGUGAGUAACACGUGGGUGAUCUGCCCUGCACUUUGGGAUAAGCCUGGGAAACUGGGUCUAAUACCGAAUACACCCUGCUGGUCGCAUGGCCUGGUGGGGGAAAGCUUUUGCGGUGUGGGAUGGGCCCGCGGCCUAUCAGCUUGUUGGUGGGGUGAUGGCCUACCAAGGCGACGACGGGUAGCCGGCCUGAGAGGGUGUCCGGCCACACUGGGACUGAGAUACGGCCCAGACUCCUACGGGAGGCAGCAGUGGGGAAUAUUGCACAAUGGGCGCAAGCCUGAUGCAGCGACGCCGCGUGAGGGAUGACGGCCUUCGGGUUGUAAACCUCUUUCAAUAGGGACGAAGCGUGAGUGACGGUACCUAUAGAAGAAGCACCGGCCAACUACGUGCCAGCCGCCGCAGUAAUAC